rnacentral:rRNA from 1 species
AUUGGUGCUUGCACUGAUCCGAUCGAGUGGCGGACGGGUGAGUAACGCGUGGGUAACCUGCCUCAUACAGGGGAAUAACAGUUGGAAACGGCUGCUAAAACCGCAUAAGCGCACGGUAUCGCAUGAUACAGUGUGAAAAACUCCGGUGGUACAAGAUGGACCCGCGUCUGAUUAGCUGGUUGGUGAGGUAACGGCCCACCAAGGCAACGAUCAGUAGCCGGCCUGAGAGGGUGAACGGCCACACUGGAACUGAGACACGGUCCAGACUCC